UGUGUGUGUGUGUGUGUGUGUGUGUGUGUGUGUGUUUAGUGUCAGUGCUGUGACAUACAUUAAGCCUAAUUAGUUUACACUGUCUCCAUCGCUGCAGCUGUAAGUGUUAAGGAUAUGCUAACAUGUUCUCUUUAACCUACUACAAGCACAGAGCUUCAUUCACCUCGUCCAUGGGUCGCCUGCUCAGUUGGGAUUGGUUAUAACAUUGAACUGUGUGCAGAUUAAACUUGGGUUCGGUAACAGCCUGCAGCGUUUGCUUGUGUUUUCAUUACAUUGAUCGCUCCGUCGAAUCGUUGAACAUAUUGGGCCGCUGUGUGGGUUUGUCAUAAGCCCUGUGUGUUUAAUAUCAUAAUGUUCAUAAGUGUUUACUAAUCCAGAUUGACUUCCCGACCUUUUUUCUCAAAAUAUUUAGCAACAUUUCAUGUGAACCGUGAAAAAUGGCCUUUGUACAAUUCUUCACGCAUGUUAGUCAAAAAUAUAACAUUUAUAUCAUUGUGAUCUUCAAUCAAAUUUAAUCUGUUUUUGUUUGACAUCAUUUUAAAGGAAUAGUUCACCCAAAAGCUGAAAAUGUGCUCGUCCUCAGACCAUCGUUUGAAGUUAAAUGCUGGAUUUGUUUCAUCUUUAGUCUUACUGGACUGGAUGGGCUGGAGUGCUGUGGAUUAUUGUGAUGUUUUUAUCAGCUGUUUGGACUCUCAUUCUGACGGCACCCAUUCACUGCUGAGCAUCCACUGCUGAGACACUGAUGCAAUGCUACAUUACAGUAGGGGGCGGGGCUUAUGAGCUCCGGGUGGACGGGGCCAGGGUCUGGAGGGGGCGUGUCUUCCUCACAGUAGGGAGCAGAGUUUAGAAUCAUGCUGUAGUCCAUGCCUGGGACAGACAUGAGCUCCGGGUGGGCGGGGCCAGGGUCUGGAGGGGGUGUGUCUUUCUCACAGUAGGGGGCCGGGCCGUGGACAUAAGGCAUAGGAGUGCAGCUGGUCUGAACAGACUGUUGUCCAUUGGGGCAGGUGACGUACUGCGUGAUUGGCCCGAUUGGCACAAUCUGUAUGAUUGGCGUGAUCAGCACAUCCUCCUGUAUACCAUCAGACUGGAUGCUGCUGGGCGUCACAGCUGGACUCGUGUCCACGCUCACCUGGUACCACGUCUCCGUGCAGUACUGGGGGGACUUAUAGCCUUGAAAACUGGAGAAAUGCUGAUCGAUCUCGUCAAUCUUCCCCUUCUGUUGGGACAAGAAAUAACAGAAGCUGAAGCUUCAAAUUAAGUUCCUCACAUGGUUCCCAAUAAAUCAUUCAACAUUGUUGUGCUAGUUGUCGUGACGUUGCUAUGCAGUCGCUAAGCUAUGUUCAGAUCUGAGCUGUUUGGCUGAUCUGAACACUACUAAUAACUCAAACAAAAAUCUGAUGAAGAAACAAACCCAUCCUAAUCUCGAUGGCCUGAGGGUUACUCAGGGCCUGAGUAUAUUUUCAGGCUAAGGCACAUCAAGCGAGUGCUAAGCCAUCAAUCCGAUAUCCUGAGGAGGCAGCACCUUUGUGUUUGUGAAUAUGGAUUAUGGCUGGAGUUGGUUAAACAUGUCAGCGUCACGUUUGAAAACAGCGAUGUCCUCUCGCCAUGCAAAUCUAGGCUUAUCGGCCCUGCAGCGCAGACAGAUUACCCAAAGCUGCCCUGGCAGGAACUGAUCUCACCUCUUCAGAACAGCACUUUUGUUAGGAUCCAGUUUGCGUAAGCAGCAGCAGGGGAUCUGAUCGCAUGAUCAGUGGCACAAUGAGUCUACUUACCUAAACACUUUCAUAAAACUUAUUUUUACAUGCACAUGUCAUUUAUCAUAUAUAGAUCACUUCUGAACAUUCACAGAUUCACAAAACUGCUUUCAGCUGAAGACAGACUCAAGUCACUGCAGUUCAUCUGAUGCAAAUAGGCUACUGAUCUAACUGUAAUGCAUGAUGUAUCACUUUAUAUAUGUGCAUUAUUUAUUUAUUUAUUUAUUUAUUUAUUAAUAAGUAUGUCGCUUGCUAUUAGUUGAGAAUUUCAUAUUUCAUAUAUAUUCAAAACAAUACACUCUUAUACUUAAUUUUUCAUUUAAGUAGGUUUUUUUUUAUUAUUGGUCUGAUAUUUAUUCAUUCAUUCAUUCAUUCAUUCAUUUAUAAGCAUUGGUCUAGUAUUGGUUAGCAGAUUAUUUCAUUAUUUUUUUAAUUUGAAAACAGUAUUUAUUUAUUUAAUAAAUAUUCUGUAUAGCUUGGUUAGUAGCUUAUAUAUAUAUAUGUAUGUGUGUGUGUGUGUGUGUGUGGUGAAAACAGUGUUCUUUAUUGUAUUAUUGGUCUAUUUAUUUAUUUAUUUGUUUGUUUAAUAUGUAUUCAGUAUGGUGGGAGCAGAUAAUGUUUAUUAUUAUUUUUACUAUUAUUUAUGCAAUUUUAAAACAGUAAAUCAUUCAUAAAUAUUCAAUAUUGGUCUGUUUGGUAGCAGAUAAUUUUGUAUAAUUUAUUUAAUUUAACAAAAGUGUACUUAUUUAUUUAUAUGUAUCCAUAUAUUCUCUUUAUUUGCAAUACUAUAAUGCAUUCAUUCAUUUUUAUUUUUUUGCAUGUAAACUUGAAUGUAAAAAAUACAGUAUGUAACACAAUUUGAUUUUUAUAUUUUCUGUACAGAAUGUGAGUUCUGCCACAGUGUUUCCAGGCCAUUGCCGUGUGGUCACUAAUGUGUUCUGAGCGUUUCUGCAGUUGCUAGGGUGCUCUAGCUAGCUGCUGUUGGGAAACUCUGUCAAAUAUUCAUCUGCUGGGUGCGAUGUUUCCACCUUCCCCCGCGUCUCUUCAUCUCUCUCAUGGAUGGAUUAGGUCAUCGGAAGGGAUUCUGGGAUUCUCUGCUGAUUGUGUCCUGACCAAAGCAGAUCAGUGGCUACUCACAUUUAGCUGGAGCAGAACACAGUGUUCUGAGCGCGCUCACCUCGCUUUCCCUUUCUGCAUAACUGUGACCCGAUGAGACGUUUGACUUCAAGAAAUGUUCUUAAGCUGUAUUUAUUAACAUCCUUUAACUCAUGUCAUCAGAGCAUAUCCAAAGUAACUGUCCAUAAGCACCGU
ensembl:lncRNA